UACGUAGGGGGCAAGCGUUGUCCGGAAUUAUUGGGCGUAAAGAGCGCGUAGGCGGUCCGGUAAGUCGGUUGUGAAAGUCGGGGGCUCAACCCUCGGAUGCCGAUCGAUACUGUCGGGCUAGAGUCCGGAAGAGGCGAGUGGAAUUCCUGGUGUAGCGGUGGAAUGCGCAGAUAUCAGGAGGAACACCAAUAGCGAAGGCAGCUCGCUGGGACGUUACUGACACUAAGGCGCGAAAGCGUGGGGAGCGAACAGG
rnacentral:rRNA from 1 species